rnacentral:SRP_RNA from 1 species
GCAGCCCUGGCAAGUCUUAUACGGCCAGCUCCCGAUGAAUCCCCCAGGGCAGGAAUGCAGCAAGGGUGUUCGGUUGUAGCGGCGCGAUGUAAGUAACUUGCCAGUUU